rnacentral:rRNA from 1 species
GACGAACGCUGGCGGCGUGCCUAAUACAUGCAAGUAGAACGCUGAAGGAGGAGUUUGCUUCUCCGGAUGAGUUGCGAACGGGUGAGUAACGCGUAGGUAACCUGCCUGGUAGCGGGGGAAAACUAUUGGAAACGAUAGCUAAUACCGCAUAACAGUAGAUAUCGCAUGAUAUCUGCUUGAAAGGUGCAAUUGAAUCACUACCAGAUGGACCUGCGUUGUAUUAGCUAGUUGGUGAGGUAACGGCUCACCAAGGCGACGAUACAUAGCCGACCUGAGAGGGUGAUCGGCCACACUGGGACUGAGACACGGCCCAGACUCCUACGGGAGGCAGCAGUAGGGAAUCUUCGGCAAUGGACGGAAGUCUGACCGAGCAACGCCGCGUGAGUGAAGAAGGUUUUCGGAUCGUAAAGCUCUGUUGUAAGAGAAGAACGAGUGUGAGAGUGGAAAGUUCACACUGUGACGGUAUCUUACCAGAAAGGGACGGCUAACUACGUG